rnacentral:rRNA from 1 species
UCGCAAUGCCCGAAAGGGUGACGAAGCGACGCCGCGUGUGGGAAGAAGGCCUUCGGGUUGUAAACCACUGUCGGGAGUUAGGAAAUGUAAGGGUGUUAAUAGCAUCCUUACUUGACUAAGGCUCCGGAGGAAGCCACGGCUAACUCUGUGCCAGCAGCCGCGGUAAUACAGAGGCGGCAAGCGUUGUUCGGAAUUAUUGGGCGUAAAGAGCACGUAGGCGGCCUUGUAAGUCAGUUGUGAAAGCCUUCUGCUUAACGGAAGAACAGCAGCUGAUACUGCAAGGCUAGAGUGCGGAAGGGGAGAGUGGAACUUCUGGUGGAGCGGUGAAAUGCGUAGAUAUCAGAAGGAACACCGGCGGCGAAGGCGACUCUCUGGUCCGUAACUGACGCUGAGUGUGCGAAAGCUAGGGGAGCAAACGGGAUUAGAUACCCCGGUAGUCCUAGCCGUAAACGAUGGGCACUAA